CUGACCGGUUCCCUCAUCCCGAGGCCUCUCCCUCACAUGGAAACACGUGACACUGAAGGGGUGAUCCUCUGCUCAGACUUUCUUCAGAUGGGGAAAAAAAAAUAAAACCACAAACAGCUGACUGUGAGCCAGACUCCAGCUCAGAGCAGGCAUCCUAAUGACCUCAUCGGUAUACAAGCUGGAACUUGCUUCUCUCAGGCCUGCCUGGCUGCCAGCAUUCCUACUGACCAACUUAUGCAAGAGAGUCCUUGAGGAAAGAGGAGGCUGCCUGUGUGGGGCCUUCAUGCCUGAGCCACACAUGGAGAGACAUAGAAAAACCUGCAUCAGAGACUGGGGCUGAUGGCCUCUCACCCCAACCUCUGCUGUACCCCUCUUCAACGAGCCCCUUUCUUUGCUCACUAAAACAAAACACAUUCCUAAAUUAAACACUCGGUUACCUUCCAUGUGGGCCCAAGUGGAAAAGCCAAUGAAGGCCUGAGGCGAGUGGAUGAGUCAGAACCUGUCCACGGGAGUUUUACUAAAAGAUUCGGGAAAGCUGGAGGACCACAGGCGGCAGAGGACCCGAGGGGCCAAAGGGUUCAAAACUUCUGCAGGUUCGGGACUGGAGAGGAAGUCUCAGAAGCCAUGUAGAACAACCCUGCCACGUUGCAGAUGAGGGAACCACAGCCCAGAGGGUGGCGGAGCGGGGUGUCUUUCGCCGAGCUUAGAGCAGAAAGUAGGACUCUAACCUCCUGACUUGCUCCUGGGCCAACUACGGAAAAGUCCAGGCCCUGAGCAGCAAACUUUGCCUGGCUGGCAAGUUCUCCAGAGAUCUUCCUGACAUCAAAAUCCACGGAAUCUCCAGUGAGAUGCUGCAGAGAGGCAUGAAUGGGCAGGACGAGGGGCGGAUCCCCAAAUUUGUCGACAAGAACAGGAUCUGCCACACAGAGAAAGACAGCAGUAAAUUAGGAGUGAGCUAUCCACCCUGCGUAAUGUGUAUGCCCCUGUUCCAGCACAGAAGAGUCUCCAAGCAAGAGGCCUCCAAUAUGCAAAAAAUAAAAGGGAAAUUCCACGUUCAAAUCCAGGAAUAGGGCUAGAGAAAGGAAGGACCAGAUAUAAGACAGGUGGAGCCUUCCAUUCCAUCCUCUGUCAUCAAGCAACAAAAGGAUGGCUUUUCUCUGUCCUAAGUAACACCAGGGAUUUCUUUCCAGAUCAACCACAGAGAGUUCACCUGUUCUUGCAGAAACUGGCUGGGCCAGGUUCUCACGACCCAGGAAAGUUCUGAGUACAAAGAAGGAGAAUCCAGGCCUAGAGUUCCUCCACCCUGCUGCUGCUGCAUGGCAUGGAGUCACAAGAAAGUGGCAAGGAGAAACUGGUGUGAGAACAGAGGCGAGAAUCAGAGCCAAGCCAGCGUCUGGGAACCCAGAACCUUUGGCGCGGCGGCAGCCGCUAGGGUGCAGCUGUGGGCUGAUGUGGGGUUCACGCCAGGGGCGGAGCCGCGCAGGAGAUGAGCUGGCAGUGAUGGCGAGGAGGUUCGGUGUUGUGUUUCUACUGUAACUAUAAUUAGGCGGAUUCUGUGUUUAUUUAGGCUGAGAGCUGUAAGAUAAAUGACAGCUUCGAAGAUGCUUUUCAGCACUUCAUAAAUCACCCACCGGCCCGGGCAGUGUGCUUGUGUCUUGUCUCAGUUCUCGCUCGGUGCCCUGCCGGUCCCCCCAUUCACCUCGGAAGAGGGCACAGCCUGGAUGACCCAGGAGCCCACGCCACAAAGGCAAGAGGCAAAGGGGAAGGUGGUGUCUGUCCUUCUCUAAGCUCUCGGCGCCCCGGAAUCAGUGCCCAGCAGCUGCUUGGAAAGCUGUCAGGAAAAGCUUCCUCCAGAGGUGGUCCCCAGGCCCAGUGGGGAUGCGUUGACGGGCAGGCCUGCCCUCCUCUGGGAGAAUAUGGUCUCUAAUCGGCUCUAACUCUUCUCGCCCCCACCCCCGCCUCUCUGACACAGCUGGAGAUUUACGGGAGACACUGGAGAAAUAUUUAUAGUACAGAGAACCGUCUUUUCCCCUCCUAUGCCUGUCUGCGUCUCCUGGGGCUGGGGUG
ensembl:lncRNA